rnacentral:rRNA from 1 species
GACGAACGCUGGCGGCGUGCUUAACACAUGCAAGUCGAACGGAAAGGCCCUGCUUUUGUGGGGUGCUCGAGUGGCGAACGGGUGAGUAACACGUGAGUAACCUGCCCUUAUCUUUGGGUGAUCUCCUGGAAACUGGGGCUAUAACCGCUGAGGAGCUCUUGCACCACGUGGGGGGUUGGAAAGUUUCGGCGGUGGGGGAUGGACUCGCGGCUUAUGAGCUGGUUGGUGGGGUAGUGGCUUACCAGGCCUUUGACGGGUAGCCGGCCUGAGAGGGUUACCGGCCACAUUGGGACUGAGAUACGGCCCAGACGCCUACGGGAGGCAGCAGUGGGGAAUAUUGCACAAUGGGCGGAAGCCUGAUGCAGCAACGCCGCGUGCGGGAUGACGGCCUUCGGGUUGUAAACCGCUUUCGCCUGUGACGAAGCGUGAGUGACGGUAAUGGGUAAAGAAGCACCGGCUAACUACGUG